GACGAACGCUGGCGGCGUGCCUAAUACAUGCAAGUCGAGCGAAUCGAYGGGAGCUUGCUCCCUGAGAUUAGCGGCGGACGGGUGAGUAACACGUGGGCAACCUGCCUAUAAGACUGGGAUAACUUCGGGAAACCGGAGCUAAUACCGGAUACGUUCUUUUCUCGCAUGAGAGAAGAUGGAAAGACGGUUUACGCUGUCACUUAUAGAUGGGCCCGCGGCGCAUUAGCUAGUUGGUGAGGUAAUGGCUCACCAAGGCGACGAUGCGUAGCCGACCUGAGAGGGUGAUCGGCCACACUGGGACUGAGACACGGCCCAGACUCCUACGGGAGGCAGCAGUAGGGAAUCUUCCGCAAUGGACGAAAGUCUGACGGAGCAACGCCGCGUGAACGAAGAAGGCCUUCGGGUCGUAAAGUUCUGUUGUUAGGGAAGAACAAGUACCAGAGUAACUGCUGGUA
rnacentral:rRNA from 1 species